AUUGUGAAAAGCCAAACUUGUCGUGAGGCAGGGUCGGAAAGCCACAGGUCUUUAAAUUGAUGGAUAAAUUAAAGAUGGCUGGGUUGCAUUG
rnacentral:ncRNA from 1 species